UACGAGGGGGGCGAGCGUUGUUCGGAAUUAUUGGGCGUAAAGGGUGCGUAGGCGGUUUGGUAAGUCUCGUGUGAAAUCUCCGGGCUCAACUCGGAGCCUGCACGAGAAACUGCCGGGCUUGAGUGUGGGAGAGGUGAGUGGAAUUCCUGGUGUAGCGGUGAAAUGCGUAGAUAUCGGAAGGAACACCAGUGGCGAAGGCGGCUACCUGGCCUAAUACUGACACUGAGGCACGAAAGCGUGGGGAGCAAACAGG
rnacentral:rRNA from 1 species